CCCAAGGCUCCAAACAUUUAUCAUAAUUACGAAUAAAUUUGAUGGUGAAAUUCCUUCAAGUUUAUCAAGAUGUUCAUUGCUUCAAACAAUAGCUUUGUCUUACAACAAAUUUAGUGGAAAUAUACCAAAGGAAUAUGGGAACUUAACGCAGCUUGAGUGGUUAGAACUUAACAACAAUCACUUAACAGGCGCUAUUCCAAAGGAGUUAUGUGUUUCAUCAUCUUUCCGUUAUCUUUUCUUAUUUAACAACAUACUCUCUGGAGCUAUACCAAAGGAAAUUGGAAACUUAACAGCAGUCGAGCUCUUAUCUAUUGAAUUCAACAACUUCGGAGGUGUAAUACCACAAGAAAUUGGAAAACUUUAUACAUUGAAGUAGGUAGGCUUGGGAUCCGCUAACUUAAGUGGGACAAUACCAAAAGAAAUUUUCAACAUUUCUUCAUUGAUAUUUAUUGAACUUUCAGACAACAACCUUGUGGGCACUCUCCCCACAAGUAUGGGGUAUGCUCUAUCAGAUCUAGAAAGUCUCUAUCUUGGUAUCAAUUUCAUCUCCGGAGUGAUACCAGAUUCAAUAUCAAAUUGUUCAAAACUUACUAUCUUAUCCCUUGAAGGUAAUAGAUUCAGCGGCACAUUACCUACAUUUCUUGGUAAUCUAAGGCUCCUAGAACAACUACAUUUGCAAG